rnacentral:rRNA from 1 species
UGACCCUAGGUCAGGCGGGAUUACCUGCUGAGUUUAAGCAUAUCAAUAAGAGGAGGAAAAGAAACUUACAAGGAUUCCCUUAGUAACGACGAGUGAACCAGGAAUAGAACAGCCUUAGAACUGGGCGGCUCUGUCAUCCUAUUUGUAGUUUGGAAAAGUGUCCUCAGCGGUGGACCAGUCCCAAGUCUCCUGGAAGGGGGUGCCAGAUAGGGUGAGAGCCCUAUUCUGCUCUGACCCUAUUGCACUACGAGGCACUGUCUAUGAGUAAGGUUGUUUGGGAAUGUAGCCCAAAUCGGGCGGUGAAUUCCGUCCAAGGCUAAAUACGGGUGACAGAUCAAUAGCGAACAAGUACCGCAAGGGAAAGAUGAAAAGGACUUUGAAAAAAGAGUCAAAGAGUGCUUGAAAUUAUUGGGAGGGAAGCAGAUAGGGGCCGGUGAUGCACCCCGAUCGAAUGUGGAAUGGCGACGACCCGAUCCACCGAUUGACUCGAGGCGUGGACCAGCAUGGAUUGGGGAGGCUUCCAAAGCUCGGGCUCUCGAUAUGCUUGUGGAAUGCCGUAUGCUCGAUUAUGGUAGGUAGCGUGUGCCUCCGGUGUGCUUCAACAUCUGUGUGAUACCGACGCUGGCCUGUGGGCUUCCCAUUUGACCCAUCUUGAAAAGCGGACCAAGGAGUUUGACAUGUGUGUGAGUCAACGGAUGAGUAAACCCGUAAGGCGUAAGGAAGCUGAUUAGUGGUAUCCCCCGGAGGGGUGCUCCACCGACCGACCUUGAUCUUUUAAGAAGGUUUUGAGUGUGAGCAUACCUGUCGGGACCCGAAAGAUGGUGAACUAGGCAUGAGCGGGGCAAAGCUAGAAGAAACUCUGGUGGAGGCCCGCAUUGAUACUGACAUGCAAAUCGUUCAUCUAACUUGUGUGUAGGGCCCGUGGUUACUUUAUCGCACCGUGCCACAGAAUAAAGAGCUCCAAGUAAGCCAUUUUUGGUAAGCAGAAUUGGCGAUGCGGGAUGAACUGAAAGUCGUGUUAUGAUGCCAAACUGCACACAAAUCUAGAUCCCACAAAGGGUGUUGGUCGAUUAAGACAACAGGAUGGUGGUCAUGGAAGUCAAAAUCCGCUAAGGAGUGUGUAACAACUCACCUGCCAAAUAUACUAGCCCCAAAAAUGGAUGGCGCUUAAGUAAGCAACCUAUACCCGGCCAUCGGGGAAAGUUCUAGGCCCCGAUGAGUAGGAGGGCACGGCGGUCGCUGUAAAACCUUGGGCGAGAGCCCGAUCUGAGCGGCCGUUGGUGCAGAUAUUGGUGGUAGUAGUAAAUAUUCAAAUGAGAACUUUGAAGGCCGAAGAGGGGUAAGAUUCCAUGUGAACGGCACUUGCACAAGGGUUAGUCGAUCCUAAGGGUCGGGGGAACCACGACAUAUAGCGCAUUUCAUGAGUAGUUCGAAAGGGAAUCAGGUUAAAAUUCCUAGAUUGGGACAUGGUGGUCGACGGCAAUGUUAGGAUGUCCGUAGACGUCGGUGGGAGCCUCGGGAACAGUUAUCUUUUCUGUUUAACAGGCUGACCACCCUGGAAUCGGCUCGGCCAGAGGUAGGGUCCAGCGGCUGGAAGAGCACCGCAUUUUGCAUGGUGUCCGACAUACUAUCGGCGGCCUUUGAAAUUAUAGAGGACCAAAUGCCGUCCACGCUCGAUCGUACUCAUAACCACAUCAGGUCUCCAAGGGAAACAACCUCUAGUCGAUGGAACAAUGUAGGCAAGGAAAGUUGGCAAAAUGGAUCCGUAACUUCUGGAAAAGGAUUGGCACUGAGAGCUGGGCAUGGGGGUCCCAGUCCCGAACCCAUCAGCUGUCGGUGGACUACUCGAGCUGAUCCCGCAGUAAGAGCGGGUCACCACAUGCCGAUCGAGGGACAAACUGGGAAUAGUUCCUUCGGGGGCCUUCCCUGGACGUCGAACAGCCAACUUAGACCUUGUACGGACAAGGGGAAUCCGACUGUUUAAAUAAAACAAAACAUUGUGAUGGUCCCAAUAGAUAUUCACACAUUGUGAUUUCUACUCAGUGCUUUGGAUGUCAAAUUGAAGAAAUUCAACCAAGUGUGGGUAAAUGGUGGGAGUAACUAUGACUCUCUUAAGGUAGCCAAAUGCCUCGUCAUCUAAUUAGUGACAUGCAUGAAUGGAUUAACGUGAUUCCUACUAUCCCUGUCUACUAUCCAGCGAAACCACAGCCCAGGGAACGGGCUUGGAAAAAUCAAUGGGGAAAGAAGACCCUCUUGAGCUUAACUCUACUCCGACUUUGUGAAAUGACUUGAGAGGUGUUGUAUAAGUGGGAGCCGAAAGCCAAAAGUGAAAUUCCACUAAUUUUAACAUUAUUUUACUUAUUCCGUGUAUCUGAAGCAGGGCACUGUCCCUCUUUUUAGACCCAAGGCUCGCUCUUCGGGUCGAUCCAGGUGGAAGACAUUGUCAGGUGGGGAGUUUGGUUGGGGCGGCAUAUCUUUUAAAAGAUAACGCAGGUGUCCUAAGAUGAUCUCAAAGAUAAUAGAAAUAUCGUGUGGAAUAGAAAGGUAAGAGCUCGUUUGAUUCUAAUUUCUAGUACGAAUACGAACCAUGAAAGUGUCGCCUAACAAUCCUUUAGACCUUCGAAAUUUAAAGCUAUAGGUGUCAAAAAAGUGUUACCACAGGGAUAACUGGCCUGUUUCAGCCAAGCGUUCAUAGCGACGUUGCUUGUUCAUCCUUUGAUGUCGGCUCGUCCUAUCAUUAUGAAGCAGAAUUCACCAAGUGUUGGAAUGUUCACCAACCAAUAGAGAACAUGAGCUGGGUUUAGACCGUCGUGAGACAGGUUAGUUUUACCCUACUUGUGACAGUGUCGCAGUAGUAAUUCAACCUAGUACGAGAAGAAACGUUGAUUCACAUAAUUUGUAAUCGCACUAGGUUGAAAAUCCAGUGGUGCAAAGCUACCAUGUGCUAGAUUAUGACUGAACGCCUCUAAGUCAGAAUCCGGGCUAGAAGCGACGUAUAUGCCGGAUGUCUGCUUGCCGACCCGCAGUAGAGGCCUUGGCCACCAAGGGCACAUGUCAUUUGCUAAGCCACCAUGGCGGAAAAAUCACGGUGGCUGCCUUGAAGUAUAAUUUCCAUCGAGCGGCGGGUAGAAUUCUUUACAGAAGACUGAAAUAUGCUACAAGGUAUUGUAAGUAGAAGAGUGGCCUUGAUGCCACGAUCCACUGACAUUCAUCUCUUUAUCGCUCUGGUUCGU